rnacentral:lncRNA from 1 species
NNNNNNNNNNNNNNNNNNNNNNNNNNNNNNNNNNNNNNNNNNNNNNNNNGGAGCGUGUCAGGGCUGUGCAAGGGAGCGUGUCAGGGCCAUGGAUGGGAGCGUGUCAGGAUUUUUGGCAGUAGCAUGUCAGGAUCGUACACGGGAGGGUGUCGGGGCCAUGCACAGCAGUGUGUCAGGGCCGUGCAUAGGAGCGUGCCACGAUCAUAUACAGAAGUGUGUCAGGAUCAUGCGCAGUGGCGUGUCAGGGCUGUGCGUGGGAGCCAGUCUGGAUCGUGCGUGGGAACAUGUCAGGAUCAUGCAUGGGUGCGUGUCAGGAUCGUACACGGGUGCUUGUUGGGGCCAUGAGGGGGAUCGUGCACAGGAGUGUGUCAGGGCCAUGCACAGGAGUGUGUCAGGGUCGUGCACAGGAGCAUGUCGGGGCCAUGCACAGGAGCACGUCAGGAUCGUGCACAGGAGCAUGUCAGGGCCAUGCACAGGAGCACGUCAGGGUCGUGCACAGGAGUGUGUCGGGGCCGUGAAUGGGAGCAUGUCGGGAUCGUGCACGGGGCCGUGCCAGGAUCAUAUACAGGAGUGUGUCAGGAUCAUGCACGGGUAUGUGCCAGGGCCAUGCACAGGAGCAUGUCAGGAUUGUGCAAGGGAACAUGUCAGGGUUGUGCGAAGGAGUGUAUCAGGGCCAUGGAUGGGAGCGUGUCAGGAUUUUUGAUAGCAGUGUGUAAACGCCAUGUACAGGAGCGUGCCAGGAUGGUGCACAGGAGUGUGUCGGGGCCGUGCAUGGGAGUAUGUCAGGAUGGUGCACGGGGGAGGGUGUCAGGGCUGUACAAAGGAGCGUGUCAGGGCCAUGGAUGGGAGCGUGCCAGGAUGGUGCACAGGAGCGUGUCAGGGCCAUGCACAGGAGUGUGUCAGGAUCAUGCACGGGAGGGUGCCAGGAUGGUGCACAGAAGUGUGUCAGGGUCGUGCACAGUGGCGUGUCAGGGCUGUGCGUGGGAGCCGGUCUGGAUCGUGCACGGGUGCAUGUCAGGAUCACACACGGGAGCGUGUCGGGGCCGUGAGGGGGGUCGUACAUGGGAGCAUGUCCGGAUCGUGUGCGGGAACGUGUCAGGGCCAUGCACGGAAGUGUGUCAGGGCUGUGCAAGGGAGCUUAUCAGGAGCGUGCACAGGAGUGUGUCAGGAUUGUGCACGGGAGUGUCAGGGCCGUGUAUGUGUGCACACAUGCGGGSCGUGCUCUGUGUGUGCAUAGGGGCACGUGCGUGUGCACGUGUGGGGCGUGCUCUGUGCUCACGGGUGGCCUUGUGUGCACAGACGUGUGGAUGCGUUC